AGAAAAUAAAAAUUAAUAUCAUUAAGUAAUUUAAUGUAAAAUCAAAAUUUUAUUUUUAUUCAUUAUAUAUGUAUGUACGUACGUAUGUAUGUAUAGACGAAAGCCAGCUAAUGCGGCAAACUGUAGCAUUAAGCAAACUUGAUUCACACUCUGGUUUAGAUAAUGUGGCACUAAUGCAGCAACUAUUGUAGCACAAACACGACAUGUUAUGCGAGGUAUGUGCAUGAGUGUGAGUGUGUAUAUAGUCCUCUAGUGCAAACACUCUCAUUUUUUUUUCAUUUGAAUACGCUUUUAACCUAUGCGAUUUAAUAACAUUAGAUUUUAAUAUUAUUAAACUGCAUUACUUUAUUGUGCAUUUAAAACUAACUUUAUUAAGUUGCACAACUUAAUAGUAUGUCCGCAUUAAUAAAAAAAAAAAAGAAGGUGCUCACAACAAAUUUGCUAUGUUUAAUUAUGUGACACGUAUAUGGUUUAUGUUUUUAGACUUUUAAAGUUUUAAGAACCAUAUUCACGUACGAUUGGAUAACGACCACUGUCCCUGGUAUCACAACCAAUUUGUACGUAAUACACAUUCUAUAUAUAACCUAGUACAAUGCAAGGUUUCAGUCUAUUACAAUUGAGUUUUCUCUUUAGAAAAUAUUUUGAACUUAAGAUUAUUAAUUAUAAGGUGAGGAUUCGAGCUGGUAAAAUAGGCCAUCGGGUCGUAUUUGUGUCGUGUCAGUUUUAUUUCAUGUCAAAUUUA
rnacentral:lncRNA from 1 species